UUUAUAACCGGCACAGAUAAUCUUUUCAAUCGCAUCUAGUCCCUUCGCUACCUAUCCAAAAUGAAGAGUCUCUGUGUGUUUGUAAUGGCGAUAAUUGCUAUUGCCUACGGCAAAACCUUUAGUAAAUGUUCCUUGGCCCAAGAAUUGGUUCGUGAUGGUGUAUCUAGAGGAGAAGUUCAUCACUGGGUUUGCCUGGCACAAGCGGAAUCUGGUAUGUCAACAACAGCUUCCAAUGUAAACACUGAUGGUUCAGCUGAUCACGGAAUCUUCCGUAUCAACGAUUACUGGAGCUGUAGACCAAGCAAUGGUAGAGUUAGCAAAAACGCAUGCGGUCACUCUUGUUCUGAUUUCGAAGAUUCUAACUUGGAAGAUGAUGUCGCUUGUGUCAAACAGAUAAUGAUCUGGCAUCCCCGCGACUUCACUCGUUACUCAUAUGCUUAUAGGACGCAUUGUAACGGAACCACCGCCAGUUAUCUCAGUGGAUGUUCUUAUUAAUU